rnacentral:lncRNA from 1 species
AUCGAUCCACAAGAUGACAAGGGAACUGAAAAAGGCCUGUGGCUGGUGACAUCAUAGCCCUGCAGCUUCCUCCUGUGCUUGGGGCGAUGCUGGUGUGAACAUGUCUACGAGGCUCCAGUCAAAGCGAAGUCCUGCUGUCCCCUACAGGACAUGACAGUCGAUCAUAGAAACAACAACUGUGCUUCUGGUUUAUUACACAUCUCACGUUGACCACAUCUCUUGAUGACAUCGAGAGGCCACGUGGAGUGAUUGACCCAGAAUUGUCUGGGUUUGUGUUCUUCACACAGUGACGGGGUCCCCUGGUGUCACAUUUCCUGGGAGUUAGCCCCAUCAGGACUGACGCUCAAGCGUACCUCUGCUCCAGGUGAUGUGUGGCAAGAAAGGUGAGGAGCCAAGGAUCUAGCUGUGCUCAGGUAAGCCAACGGUCCCCUGGGAAGGCCAGCUAUGCGUCCUGCUGCUGUGUGUUAGCCAGGGCCCCAGGCUUGCCACAGCAAGCUUAAGUAGAAGGGGGCACAGCCCGCCCCCCGGACUGUCCAUCACUUCACUAGACACCCUGGGGCCAGUUGAACUGUAGCCCCUGAGGGGCUGUGGGUGGGUGAAGGGGCAGAUCCUGCAGGCAGCUGCCCGACAACCCUGCUUGCACCCACUGGACCUCCCAUCAGGGCUUUUUCCUGACCAUUGCUUGGCCCCUACUUCCAAGUCCUCGGUCAGUGGGACUCUAGCACUGACUCUAGCAGUCAACUCCUGGCUGAAAAGACACUUAAGGGUUGUCCCCAGGCAGCUCCGAGGUGGUGUGGCCGUGGGGAGCCCGGAACAGAGUUUUGAAAGCUUUCUUCCAACAUCCCCCUCUGAUCCUUUUCCCGGCACCCAGGCUGGUCCCACCUGUGUCAGAUGAAGACGAGCUUCUGUCACUCCCACGAUGUCCCCGGAUUCUCUGUGGGAUUGUCCUGGGGAACUGUUCCUGUACUCCAUCUUGCCCUCUGGCUUUUACUCUUUCUUAAAGAUUGACUUGGGUGGCAGGAACCUGCACACUAUGCUCAUUCAUUAUCUUAGGAAGAAACAAAAAUAGCAUCACGGUGCCUAAGGAGACUCUUCUCCAGCUCUCCGUCCUGGGUCUCUGUCUCCUGUGGUUGCCCCAGUAAGAUGUCACCAUGUCUCUACUUCGGUAGCACUGACAACAGGACGCACAAGCACGAAGGGGGUGGGUCUGUCCAUCUGUUCAUUUUCUGAACUUUUUACUGAGAAAUAAUAUACAUUCAGAGAAGAAUACAGAUCAGACCUCCAAUCCACCUUCACAAAGAGAUCACAUCUACAUAAUCUGCAGCCACUUCUAGAAACAUUACAAGGAAAUUUGCUAAUGUUAAUAUGACCAAUGUCAGAAAAGCCUUCCUUAAGGCUAAGAGCUCCCAUUCUGUAAUUUCCAGCAACUCUUUCAGCUCUAAGGAGUUACACAAAAUAAGUGCAAUGUUUUCUUUUUUUUAGAAAUGUUUUCUUACUUUCAAGUACUUGGAGUAAAACGUUUGCCAUCCUUAAAAAUUCUCUUUCCCCGUAUUAUGCAAUCUUCUCUCAACCAGUUUUGCUAUGACAAGACGCUGCUUAUGAUGGUAUAUGGAGGUACACUGGGUUGGAGGGCCAACUUAGGCAAAGAGACGUGUGGAGAACAGAUGUUCAGGGACAGAAAGUGACUCUCUGGUCUGGUCAGUAGCAAUACAAGAAGCAAACAGAACCUGAAUGGCAUCUGCCACAAAAGCCGUCAAGUUCCCCUCCUCUGGGUCACGGUGGGAAGUCUGGUUGCUCCAGUCUUCCUGGGUAGGUGGACAUCAGGUGGACAGAGAGCAAGAGACACCAGCUGAUGCACAGGCUGAGGUCCUCCAGGGGACUGGCACAAGUCAGUGGCAGCCCAGGGACCCAGGGUGGUGCAAUCAGAGCUGGCAGCUGAGAGAUGACCGCUGAACUGAGGUGAGAAAAAGCUCUGGCUGCUACCAAGACUCAGGCGACACUCAUCUGGGGCUAACUACAGAACCCUCCAAGUUUUCAGGGACAGCCCAGGAGACAGGAUAAGGCCUUAGGUGUUGGGGACCACACGGAUUAGAUUUCCAGACUUUGGGGACAGGAAUUAAUUCUUGCUGACGUGGAUAACAUGGAGUCGACUCAGCCUCCUCCAACAGCCCCUCCUCCACCGCGCCACCUGGAGCCACGGGAAGGGACUGGACCAAGUGGAAAUGUAAAAUGUAUUAAGUUUGGACACUUUAGACGCGUGUCCUCUUCCAGAUCCUUCCGUAGUCCAUAGAACUUCUCCUUUUCUGCUUCUUCCUCCUCCUUUUCUUCCUCCAUCUUCUCCUUCCUCCUUUAUAUACUGAGUCCAGUUAAUUCAAGGUAUCAAAAAGGAGUCCCCUUAUUUAUGUUAAUAUGUUCAUUUAGGCAGGUAUUUGAUAUGCUCCUUUUAAUAGUAUUUAUUCUUAAAUUUAAUUGUUGCUUUUUCAUUCCAAUUGUAUUCAGGGAACAUUUGAAAAUAAAAGUGGUGGGUUUGGCCUCCUCUGCGUACAGAAUCCAGCUGCGUGGGUCCUACUCGGGUCUGUUUUUAGCUUUUCCUGUGUACAUACUCCUAGUCUUUGGUGUCCUGAGUCGUUGCUACAUUUGUUCAGAAAGAACUCGUCCAUUUCCUGUUUCAGGGCCUGACUCGCGGCCUGUGUCUGUUUCCCCUAGCGUUCCAGAGCCCCACCACACAAUUUAAAGUGUAAUGGGUAUUGGCUGUGGAGUAUUCAAACCCAUUGCCAGAAAAACUCUGUUGGUUGAGCAGAGUUGGGUUUUUUGGACUUACUGCAACAAGGGAGAACAUUGGCAUGCUCUGGAGUCCAGUGGCAUCUCAGGAUAGAGAAGUCGAAGGAGGGUUACUUAAGGUUUUAGAGCCGGGUUGGGUGAAUUUUUGCAUAGCAGGGGACAGGUUGGGAUUGACCUGUUAGUCCUGAUAAGUGAGACAUUUCAGGAAUUCCAUAGUCUAAUUACCCAGGGGCCAACAUUUAUUGAAGCAAGGCACUAGGUUAUUUUUGCCUGGUCCCAGCCUUGGUUAGCUGAAAACCAGGAAAGCAAACUUUAUCUCAGAACGGUUUAAUGAAAAAAAAAAAAGGGAAACAGGUUAGUUUCAGUUCAUAUGAGCAUGCAAAAGGGGUUUGACUACAACUUCAAUAUCCAGAGGGAGCAUGGUUUUAAUAUUUUCCCUCUAACUGAUCUGCUCUACUAGGUGGGCACAUUAUGGGUAAAUAAGAACAAAUCCAUUGGUGCAGCUUAGGGUCCUAGUGACUGGGACAGUGACUCUUGGCCACCCGCUUGCUGAUCUGUCCAUUGGAGUUUCCAGUUACCCUUCAUAGCUAAGAGAAUAUUUUUUUCUAGUUCCUCUCCCUUGGCCAGAGCUGACAGUUCUCUCUGGGUGACUUGGUGUCCCCCCAGCAAUAGCCAAUCGCAGCACACUCUAAUCUCUCGUUCUGUUCCUGAGCCUGCAUAUUUCUUCCCAGCCUUUGGGGGCCUCCAUGAUAGACCAACUAGAUCCAUUCUAGGCUUCUCUGGGUGGAAAUAAAUGAAGACCAGCCACAAAAGGGAAGCAAAGUCUAUUUAUUCUAGGCUUGCUCUAGUGAGGGAAUCACCUGCUGUCAUAGUGUCUGGCAGAGACUCAAAGGCAGGCAGAGAAGAGGGCAGUCUGUCCAAGGGAAGGCUGCAGGUCUGUCCUGAUUGGUGGCUAUUGGCACAGGGAAGUUGGAGGCAGCUAACGGGAAGCAGGCAUCUGUGUGAUUAGUGAAAGAUGUGUCUCAGUCCAAUUUGUGUUGCUAUAACACAAUACCACAUGCUGGGUAGCUUAUAAAGAAAAGAGAUUUAUUUCUCACAGUUCUGGAGGCUGGAAAGUCCAAGAUUACGAUGCCAGGGCCUUUUUGCUGCAUUAUCCCAUGGUGGAAGGCAAGAGGGUGAAAGAAGGCAGGAAAGCAAGAGAGCGCUAAACUCACUUUUAAAACAAACCCAUUCAUUAAUUCAUUCGUGAAGGCAGAGACCUCAUGGUCUAAUCAACUCUUAAAGGUGCCACCUUUCAACACUGCUGCAUUGAGAAUUGAUUUCCCAACACACAGAUGCUAGGGAACACACCCAAACCAUAGUAAGAUGCACACUCAGCUUUGUCUGGUGGGUCUUAAGUUGGAAGCUGAGAAAAAUCUUAGGGAAGCUGGCCAUUAAUCAAGUCUUGGUCAUCUCGUGCUGGUUGUUAGUAGUUAUCAUGUAGAUUCCUUGAUUGUUGCUAGAGAUAGCGGUGUAGUUUUCCUGCAAGCCUAACUUACAGCAGGCUGGCUUCCUGAGUUGUUUAUUGUUGACAAGAGGACCGGUUUCCUGGGAAGGUUGUCGUAGGCUGUGGGUCAGAGUUCUGCUUUUAAACAUGGUCUAGCCACUGUCCAUUUCAUAUUCAGUCUCUCACUACCACACAGGAGCUGACGGACUCAACCAGGCGUGGUAAGGAGACCCUCCGAGCCGCUUCAACCCCUUACCAAUGUCGCAGGUGCACAAUUUCGUCUCCGUGCCUCUGGCCCUUGGUGUUGACACCAACUGCUGUUGGAUUCUCCUAACUCAACCCCUUCCUCUUUUCUUCCUCUUUAAUUUUUUUCUCUUAUCAUCUCCCACGACUGGGGAACAGGGCUCACCUGCUGUCUUCUGGGGCAUUACUUCUUCCAACGGGACAGCAAGUCUCAUGUCUAGCUCUUGUCUCCAGAGGAAAAAACUUUCCCACCUUGCAGAACUUGAAGGUCUGGGUGCUCCCCAGAUUUGGGGUUGGCAAUGGACAGGAUGUUUCUUUAUCCUGUUAGACAGACUAACGCCAAGGUUUCCAACCUGUCACCUUGAGCCCUGUCACAGAUGGCUUACUGAUAGUGGCAGACACCCUGUGUCCAGUUUAUUCCUGCCACGUUAGCCACUGUCUAGGAGAGCCUCGACCAGGAAAGAAGUUAGGUUCAAGUGUGUUGAUGGGGUAAGACACAGAACGGGCAGCACAACAGGACCCAUGAGAUGUCUGAAGCAGUUUAUUGCUCACAGAUCCCGGUGACAAGAGGGCAGCACACCCAGCAGGGCCAGUGGGAAGACAGAGACCAUCAGGAACAUGGGCACUCAAGCAGCAGGUGGGAAGCAUGUCACCGAGAAAGACAGGCUGGGGUUGAAGGUUUCCUUGGCGUCCAGGGCAUUGCCCAAGCAGGUCUCCCACAGGGUGUUCUGAGUGGCAGGAUUGGAAGGCAGGUGCACAUCAUGAAGUCUCGGUGAGCCUGAAAGAUGUUCCCGGUGGCUUAUCUGUGCAGCCCACGCAGGAUGGGAGUCAGGGGGUUACCCAAGUAGGUUGCAUCUAGCUGCUGCAUAAGGAGGUGGUCACUGAGAGGCAGUCGUUUAAGGCAGGUGACAGAUCGGUCACCGUGAGGAAGGAGGGGAGAUGGAAAACUGGAAACUGCGUAAAGGUGACAAAAAUCCCAAUUCUGGAAUGAAAAAAAGUCCAACUUACACUGAAAAUGAAUCUCAAGGCAACCUAAAAUUAUAAGAAUUCACUGCCUAGGACAGAGGAGGAGAUAAAGAAAUUCAGGUAGGUUUUAGGGAAAAAAAAAUAGUUUCCUUGCCAGUCUAUUUUGUUUCAAAUCCUAUAUUGAAUAUCAAAAGCUUUCUUUCUCUUGGCAUACCGCAAGACUUACCCCCAGACCUCGGGGCAGAUGACCCUGGAGCCAAUUAGGAAGAAAAACCUACACUUGCAAAACCAAAAGGGAAAUUGCAUUAAUUUCUUUUUCUAAAUAUGGCUCUGAUUGCACAAGUUAUUCUUCACUAUGUUCACAUAGAAUUCUUUUGUUCCUGCUUCCUUCCACUGGCUUUCUUUGGGGUAGCAGAGGUUAAUAGGGAGAAAUGAAGCUAUUUCUUGUGCUCUGUUUAAAAAAAUGAUCUCUUCCUCUCCAUUUUAACUGCUGGAAUAUAAAGUCUCUUUUAUCUUCUCAGUAUAGGGCUCCACCUUUUCAGAAGAGGCUCCAUUGGUUUUUCUGUUUCUUUCCCAUAAUUUUGAACUUCCCACCCCCCACUUGCUUGACUCUUAAUGGAAAAUAGAUCUACAGCACAUCACUUGUAAAGAUCUUGUUCAUGAGGCUCCCUACCUGACCCUCUACUGGAAGUCCGUCAAGGUCUGUGUGUGCAUACAUGUGCAGGCAAUAAUAGGUCCUCUGUCCUUCCUUGACUUGAUUGCCCUUACAGACUGCAUGUAAUAAUAAUUUUAUAUCUGAGUUUGGCUGUUAUUUCAUUCCCUCUAGUUCUAACCCAUUAUUUUACAUUUUCAGAGGCUCAUUAUGACUCAUUGGGCAGCCGAAGAAACAUAAUGAGUCCAAGAUGAUUGCAUGUGGCGGCACUCCACAAAUAGAUAUUAAACAGCUCAUGAAAUCUAUAAAUGUCCUCACUAUCCUGGGUGCAUUACAAAGCUAUGAAUCAAUAAUUCAGUUUUGUAUGCUCUUUAAGAUUCUAGCUUUCUUGACUUUUCUUCUUGGAGAUGGAGGCUAUAAGCAAUACAGGGAAAAGAAGGUUGAUGGAGGAGAAGACUACAAAGAAAAAAAAAAAGAAAAUAUUUAAAAUAAUAUAAGCCCUUUCUCAGAGCUCUUUGACAGUUGUCCGCAUGAAGAACAAACAAUAUCAGGCACAGAGUAUAAAUGUUCAAAACACAUUUGUUGAAUGAGCAAAUAAGUUUAAUGACUAUAUUUUGGAUUGAAUUUGGACGUGGGUUUUGAUAGCGCCUGGCACUGCCCAUGUAUCCAUUCAUUAAUUCUCAAAACUGAGGAAGGACCUGAUAGUAUCGCCACUUACCAAAUGGUAAUACCAGAGGCCUCCAAUAAAGAGAAAUAUACAAGCUGAAUGUUGGGAAAAGUCCAUGUUUAUUAGGAAGCUUAUAAAGAUACUGAAAAAAGAAACUAUCCAGGAAUAACUGAAUUUGGAUUCGCCUUUAGGGUCUGCAUUUCAUGCCACCAUCUACCAACUUGCCAAGCCCAGACACGUGAGUAUCAUCUACACUCACAUCCACACCCGAUCCCCACCACAUUCCCUCUGUGCUUCCACAAUUUUCAUAUACAUCCUCUCCUGCUCCACUGUCAUUACCAAAUUCCAAACUGUCAUUAAUUCUUAACUUGGUGAAAGAAAGAACCUUCCAACCAAUCUCCCUGUCUCCACUCUUGCUUCUUUUCCCACUACAUGCUGACAUAAUCUUCAGAAAUACAAACCUAACUGUGGUCCUCUUCUGUUUAAACAUCUUUCAAGUAUUUCGCUCGUUUUGAGGAUAGAAUUGAAAUUCAUUAACAAAGCACACGGAGUCCCUCAAGAUCUCCCCUGGAUCUCCCUCCGGCCUCAUCAACUCACCGUCAAGAAGAAUUUCCCAUUCUUCUUGAACAUUCAUUCUUCACACCUUCCUUAGGACACCUGUGUCUCUGAGCAUGUAAAAGCAUUUUCCCUUCUUAUCCUUCCUUCGGCUGUAAGACAUCCUUGAAGAUCUAGCUCUGUUGUCCUCUGGGACACCUAACCUACUUCUCCUGUUCCCUCCAACGAACACACAUCUCAAAAGUGAGCCUCACACUUUAUGAGACUGGAUCCCGACAGGAAGGCACCCAACGACCAGUCUAAAUCUGAGGAGAGUUUAUUCACAAGGGACUAUGAAUGAAGUUGCGGGUGAAGUUAAGCAGAAGCACAGGGACUGGUAUAGAAAUUUGGGGUUAGUGGCAGCCACAGAGCUGCCACAUCCCUGGGUCAGAAGGCAGAUGGUAAGGGAGAGGGUGGGUUCCUUUGGUAUGAUCAGUGAUAUUUAAUUGAGUCAUCCUCCAAAGGAGGUUUAGAAUAAACACCCAUGAGCUUCCUCUCUGUCCUCCAGCCUCCUGAAACGCUCCUCACUGUGGGAGGCACCAGGAAACCAGAGGGCCCAGGAGUCUUGCUGCUGUGACCCAUGUCGACCGCCCUCUAGGGGAAGAGCUAAAGGUGAUGCGAUGAGGAAAGAUCUCCCCUCUACUGCGGACCUCUAAAUUAAACCAACGAAGGACAGAUGGAGAGCGAAGCAUAGAAAUUUUACUUAUGUUAAUAUUUUUCCAUGGCACAGGGUCCUUCGUAGAAAAGAAAUGAAGACCCCCACAGGGGAUUCGGCCUGAGAGCUCAUAUACCAUUUCAGCCAAGAACAAUCAGUUGUGGAGAUGUGACCAGAUUAAAGCAAAGGGGUUUCAGGCUUCAACAAUAAAUUGUGGGAAAGCAACUAGGAAAUUUGUGGGGAAAAACAAUGAAAGAUAAGGACGAUUUUAGUAGAUUUGUUUGUACAGAUUUGACUUGACAUCAACUACCCAUUUCCAGUGACAGAAAAGUUCUCUUCCUGGUUCAGGGAAGGAGGCACCUUUCACAAUGGGGAAUCUACGCCUCCUGGAAGAAGGCAAAGAGUCUUACCUGCAUCUGCUGUUUCUCAAAUUUCAGCUCAAAAUAAGCAGUAUGUCCAAGUGUGAUAUUUGGGGUGGCAUGCCGGGGGCAGAUCUGCAGGGGCACAGUGCCCUUCUUCUGUGGCCCACGGUAUUGUGCACACCUCUGAAAUCCACACCCACUCCUGAACUCUAAUUGCUGAACUGCUUCUCUCCCUCCUUAGUCUGUCUGCUGUUUGAAAAGGAGUUGGGCCUUUCACCUCUUUUCCCCAGUGGCUACUACAGUGCCUGGCAUAUGACAUGAAUGCAAUAAGUAUUCUCUAAAAUGAAAUAAAAAUGUGAUUGUGCACAGUGCCAGAACUGUUAGAGACCUCAGAGGUGGUUUAGUCUACUCUUCUCAUUUCCAACAUGAAAAAAAAAAAAACUGUCACCUGGAGGCAAAUGGCUGUGUCCAAGCAUUACUAUGAAUAGCAGUAAACUCAGGACUAGAUUUUCAUUUUUCUGAUUCCAGGUUUCCUCUACUCCUUAAUUUUAACUGCAAUCUCAGGUUGUUCCUUGGAACGAGAACUCAUACAAGUUUCCCAUAAAACCCAGAGUCGUAUGUUUUGGCAACAAGAGGGAGACAGCGAGAAGGGUUGGAUCUGCCUGCUUUGAUUCCUUUGCCAAAAACAACUUCUGAGUUCUCUGGAUAGCACACUUGCAAACCUCGCAAAGUGCCACAAGUUGGAGUCAUGAAACGAAGUGUGGAGCCUGAGAAUAACUCCUUCGCACAGACUACCUCUGGUGGUGGGUGGUGAGGUUUUUUUUUUUCUUUAACAUCCUAUUAGCACAUUAUCUUUAGUUUCCAGAGCCUUUCUUGGUUCCAAACUUACAGGUGGUGAUGGUGAGUGGGAGGGAGAUUGAGUAAGAUGUUCCUUAGUCGGGAGGCAAAGCUGUUGGUCCCUCCUCACGCCAUGGUUCAGCCAUUGGCCACAGCUGCUGCUGCUGCUGCUGCUGCUGAUGCAGCUUUCUUCCAGGCAAAUACAACCACUGCUUCUGAAAUGUGUGCAUGCCAGGAGCAAGAGUCAGGAGCACUCAUCAUCCUGGACCAGAAUCACCUGUUUACCUAUCUGCCCUCACCCCACUGUGUGCUCUUGAAAUCCUUGGUUAUGUCUUCUGUCUAGGUAGCCUGAAUCCUGGUCAAGUGUCCAAUUUUGCAUUCUUUGGUAACCCCCAAAGGAAGAAGAAAAUGUUGGGUGGCUUUGAGAACGUGGAUUCAGUGGCGAGGAGCUAGAUGACAAGACCUGGCCGCCUUCUGAGCCCUCAUGAAUAGAGGGUGCUCCUCCCACCACCAAGUGGCCGAUGUGAUGAUCUAAGAAGAUUGUGCACUUGCAACUCCUGUGAGGAGUUGUGUGAUCAUACAACUUUGGGUAAGUUAAGCCACGUUGGAUCCUCAUCGUACUCAGCAGUAAAACGAGCACUCUAACUCUGAAGGUCUUUUCCUGCUCUGAAAUUCUACUGGAUUCCCUUACCAUCAGAUACCCACCUCUCUCCUCUUGGACAGAGGAGAAGCCAAGCCACUAAAAGGACAAAGAGAAAACUAUAUGGAUGAUGUAGGAUCGCAACCAAUUUUGCUCCUGCCAAAAGAAAACCCACACUGCAUAUUUGAGUUUUUCAGAGGACAUGUACUGUUUGAAAAUCAUCUUCCGUCUUGCAUUUAAAAAAAAAAUUUUUUAAGAAGAAGAAAAAGACAAGUGGGAGAGGCAUAAACAUUCUGCACAUAACUUUUCUACUUAUAGACAGAUUUUUUUUGAUGCUUUUUUUUCUCUCUCUCUCUGGAGGUGUGAGGGAGGAUUCCCAUAGCUGGAGGAGGGUGGAAGUCAGGGGACUGUGGGAGAAGGCAAGUGUGAUCGUGGGACUACACUUAAUUCAUUAAAAUGUGUGUUGUUUUUUUUUUAAAAAAAAACCAUUUUGCCAAAAAUGAGCUUUGUGGGAAGGAAAAGGCAGCAGGGACAUAGAUGCGUGGGGGAAAGGGA